rnacentral:lncRNA from 1 species
ACGUGCUGACCGACACCCGAGGGUUACGAAAGCCAUUUAUUGAAUGCAAAUGCUGAGAUUAAGAAAUAAAUAAGACUUAUAAAUAUAAAGGAAUAAAGAAUAUGCAUUUAAGAAACGUGUUCAGAGCAUACAACUAACUAGACCACUAAAAGAACUAAUAUAAGAUUGAAUGAAUAAAAGAAUGAGUCCUACACCGAGAGGACUCGAAGAUGCCGAUGCGGAAGUGCCUUGACGCCGGGAUUGUAUGCCUCGAUUCUAAGUCCUGAAGGGGGCGCAAAACAAACAUGAGUGGACCAAUUUGAUAUAUAUAUAGUAAAACAGUUAUCAACGUACUUGUUUGGAUUAAAACUUGAUUUUUGGCCCAAAGAUGGAGUCGGCCCAAAAGGAGGCCUGGAGGAAUAGAAGAUCAAAGCCCAGCCGAGACCUGGGAAGGCAGGAAAGAGCCUUUUCUGACUUGAUACAAUUCACAAAGGCCACUUGCCUACCUACCCAAGGACCAAGUGGUGUAGACUGAUCAGACUGCACAGCCCAUAAAGUACUUUAUGGUGGCAUUACAUGUAAUAAAGCUGAUGAGUCAUCACCCUCAGACCGCAUUCGGGCAAAGCUGUUGCUACAGAAGCCAAACCGAGUAGUCUAUAAAAUGAGGAAGAGAAGACAGGAAUAAGGACACUCAAACAAACAAACAAAAGCACAAACUCUGCUCAAAAAGCCAGAUUUGCCUUUCAAAACGAAGCUGUAGUCAGCCCAAGCUUUCAUCCCCCUCGGGAUAAUCUUUUCUCCUAAA